AUAAGAAUACAAUGCAAUAAUCAGAUAAUAGUGUAAAGAGGUCAUAUGGUAUACUUUCUUAUUUGUCUGCAAACCAAAAAAGUUUGCAAAUCUUGAUCGUGACAUUUUUAAUAGAAUAUGUGUACUGAAAAUUCAAAGGAAUUGUAAGUCAUGAUAUAGUGUAAUAUAAAUCGUGACAUUUUCUAAAUAGCGUCUACCAUUAAACAUUCCAAAUAAAGUGGUAAAACAUUGAAGAUAUACGUGAUUUAAUUUUAUGUUGGUAUAAAAAUAUCACAGGUACAGGUGAACGCACACAUCUCUGUCUGGCGUGUGAUUCAGCUGAAUGAUAAGCAGUUGUGUGAAACUAUACCUAUCCUUAAAAGCAAAGUGAAAAAUUUAGUGUUAUCAAUUCAAGACCAGAAACGGUGUUUCUGCAAACCCUGUGUUGUUCAGUUGAAGGUAUGUAAUUGAAACUUUGUACAAAUUGUUAGAAUUGAUUGACUUAUAAGUAAUAUUUCUCAUCCAUUGAGCAUUUGAUAUUUCAUUUCUUGCUGAUAAUAGUCUUAAUUUUGACCUGCUUGUAUACUGCAGAAUUAUAUUCAUAUGCAGACAUGUACAACCCAGCAGGCCGGCGACGUAUUUGCUACGUCGCUGUCAGGUCACAUUGAGGUCGCCAUGUCGCAGUCGCAGUGCGACGUUGUAUGGACGUGGCAGACAAGUCGCUUUCUGGUUUGGUUUUCCAUUCACAUGGCCACGUCGCUGCAACGUAGCUGUACUACAUCCAAAGGUCAACGACAAGUGAUGCUUUGUUUUGAAACGUUAUCAAAACGUUCCGAGUAACAUUAUUAAAAGGUUAUCAAAAAAGAAAAUCAAACUUCUACACACCAACCUUUUAGAAACGUUAUUGAAACACUGGUGGAGGUUUUCCUAAAGUUUGAUUGAAGCCUAAUCACAAUGUCCUACAAUCAUUAUUGAAACAUUUUGAGGUAAAUUUUCCCUGAUAAGGAUGUUUCUGUUCACUGCAGGAAUGUAUAUUAAUUUGAAAAAUAAUUGUUAUGCAAAUACGCCUGAACAUAAAUAUUUAUGAGAAAUUAUAAGUUCUAGAAAACUUUUGUGAAAAUUUGGUCAAGUGGAAUAGUAUGUCAUGUGUUUCAUUACAAUGACUGAUUUUGUACAAUACUAUUUACGAUAAAUGCAACAUUUUAUUGCAAAUAUAAUCUCCCAUUUACUGCUGUGCGUUUAAGUUCAGCCUUCCCUGUGUGGACAACUUGCUAUCUCUUGUUUUGGUGUCAGCAGUCUCAGGAAUGUUCCCAGAUACUUUAUCAGGUCAGAGCAGGAAUUCCUGCAUUCAAACUCGGACUCUGUACAUAGCGGGCAGGAAGUUCCGCCACACUGCAGGAUAUAGAAGACUGUUCAUUUUACUCUUGUGACAAGACUACAGUUUUCUAAGAGGAGCUUCAAGCACAGAAACGGGUUGGCGGCAAUGACAUGCAUCAGACCAACUGUUGAGUUUUAACCCUUGGUCAUGGGUCAGUACAAUGUAAAAGGAAUUGGAAACAAGAGAAGCUUUUCUACAACAAGACUGUAGAAACUGAUCAGAGAGAUGCUACUUUGGCCAACUGUCCAACAUCUACUGAAACAGAUAUAGCAAGCUUCAUAGGUUAAUAUUUGAAACAAACAUGCUCCAAGAAAGCUCUUGAGGGAGCAUGAGAGAGCGGAAUGAGCAGCGAGGCAAGCCACAACAGCUGAUAAAUCGGAUUAAACUGUAUGGGGGGAGUGUGUGUAAGCGUGUGUGUGUGUGUGUGUUUGUGUGGUUAAUUUAGUCUGAUUAAAUAUUACUAAAACCCUU